rnacentral:rRNA from 1 species
UUGACGGGGCCGCACAAGCGGUGGAGCAUGUGGUUUAAUUCGAUGAUACGCGAGGAACCUUACCUGGGCUCAAAUGUAUGUUGACGUAUUCUGAAAGGGAUACUUCUUCGGACAAUAUACAAGGUGCUGCAUGGUUGUCGUCAGCUCGUGCCGUGAGGUGUCGGGUUAAGUCCCAUAACGAGCGCAACCCCUAUCAUUAGUUGCCAUCAGGUCAAGCUGGGGACUCUAAUGAAACUGCCUACGCAAGUAGUGAGGAAGGUGGGGAUGACGUCAAAUCAGCACGGCCCUUACGUCCAGGGCUACACACGUGCUACAAUGGCCGGUACAGAGUGAAGCGAAACCGCGAGGUGAAGCAAAACGCAGAAAGCCGGUCUCAGUACGGAUUGGAGUCUGAAACUCGACUUCAUGAAGUUGGAAUCGCUAGUAAUCGCGCAUCAGCAUGGCGCGGUGAAUACGUUCCCGGGCCUU